rnacentral:rRNA from 1 species
UACGUAGGGAGCAAGCGUUAUCCGGAAUCAUUGGGCGUCAAGCGCGCGUAGGUGGCCAUGUAAGUCCGCUGUGAAAGUCAAAGGCUCAACCUUUGAAAGCCGGUGGAUACUGCAUGGCUAGAGUACGGAAGAGGCGAGUGGAAUUCCUGGUGUAGCGGUGGAAUGCGCAGAUAUCAGGAGGAACACCAAUAGCGAAGGCAGCUCGCUGGGACGUUACUGACACUGAGGCGCGAAAGCGUGGGGAGCGAACAGG